rnacentral:rRNA from 1 species
UUGGAGGGCAAGUCUGGUGCCAGCAGCCGCGGUAAUUCCAGCUCCAAUAGCGUAUAUUAAAGUUGUUGCAGUUAAAAAGCUCGUAGUUGAAUUUCGGGAUCAAUGUUUCGGUCAUGCCGUUGGUAUGUACUGAUAUUAUUGAUUUCUCACCUUCUAAAGAACCGUAAUGCCAUUAAUUUGGUGUCACGGGGAAUUAGGACUGUUACCUUGAAAAAAUUAGAGUGUUUAAAGCAGGCUCACGCUUGAAUACAUUAGCAUGGAAUAAUGAAAUAGGACAUCCGAUUCUAUUUUGUUGGUUUCUAGGAUCGAUGUAAUGAUUAAUAGGGAUAGUUGGGGGCAUUAGUAUUCAAUUGUCAGAGGUGAAAUUCUUGGAUUUAUUGAAGACUAACUACUGCGAAAGCAUUUGCCAAGGAUGUUUUCAUUAAUCAAGAACGAAAGUUAGGGGAUCGAAGACGAUCAGAUACCGUCGUAGUCUUAACCAUAAACUACGCCGACUAGGGAUCGGAUGAUGUUAAUUUUUUAAUGACUCAUUCGGCGCCUUACGGGAAAC